rnacentral:misc_RNA from 1 species
AAGUCGUAACAAGGUUUCCGUAGGUGAACCUGCGGAAGGAUCAUUAACACGUAUCCAACGUUAAAAACACCCCUGUGAACCCGUUAAUCUUGCUCCUCACGCCCUGCACGCCUAGCAAUCCCUGGUAAAUCAUUGUCUGAACAGAUUUUGAGUCAGGGACUUCUGACGUGACGCGAAGAAUGGUAUUGAUACUCCAUCUGCGUGGGAUGACAGCGCUGUAACGUUUUGCUGUAGGCCAACACGGCCGGCAAUCCAAGUGGUUGUACUUCGGUACCCUCACAUCGGCACACCACCGAUGAUAUGUCAAUUUCGCGAAUGGACUAAAAGCCUCGCACCAAAAACCGAACAACUGUUAACAAUGGAUAUCUUGGUUCUC